rnacentral:tRNA from 1 species
ACUAUUUUGGCAGAGAAGUGCAAUGAUUUUAGAGUUCAUGAAUAUAUGAUUAUUUUAUUAUAUAAGUAGUA